UACCAGCACCCCGAGUGGUCGGGACGAUUAUUGGGCCUAAAGCAUCCGUAGCCGGUCCUGCAAGUCUUCCGUUAAAUCCAGCUGCUCAACAGAUGGGCUGCGGGGGAUACUACAGGGCUAGGAGGCGGGAGAGGCAAGCGGUACUUUAUGGGUAGGGGUAAAAUCCGUUGAUCCAUAGAAGACCACCAGUGGCGAAGGCGGCUUGCCAGAACGCGCUCGACGGUGAGGGAUGAAAGCUGGGGGAGCAAACAGG
rnacentral:rRNA from 1 species